AAUAAAAUCAGUGCUACCACAUUUCUAAAUUUAUACGCAACUACUAUCUUACACUAGUGUGUCAAGCUAACAUAUUUAUAUAUGUUUUUGUUUUGUAUUUAGAUUGGUAAAUUUAACUUUUAGCAAUUCUCAUCGUAAGAAAUGUAACAAAAGUUGUAUGCGUAUGUGCUUUAUUGAAAUUCGACAUAACUCGAAAAUGUGGUAUUUUCGUAUAGCCGGCAAAUGGUCACACACUGUCCUUUUAAUUAUUUUCCUUUGCUCUGCUCAAAAUUAAUUUGAAUUGCAAUUGCGUCUGCGAUGCAUUUACAAAUAACUUUACUUGGUGUGAAUAACACAUGAGAAAAAAAUUUGUAACGCUCCACAAAAGUUACAAAUCGUCUCCAUUGUGAUGCCCUGGCUGACCGCUGAGGAUUACGCCAGCGUUCUGGCUGGCGGCCUGGAUCUCCAGGAUCAGCAGGUCAACCAUAGCAGGAACGGCCUUGUGCUUAGCGAACACUUGGAGCUGGCCGAGCCUGGUCUGAGCCAAUAAUCCAAGCAUCAUAGAGACACGCUCGUGCUUCGUUCGCAGCCUACAUCAGUUUUAGGAGCUGAAGGAUAAAAAACUUAGACAGCGUUUAUUGUUUUCAAUAAAAUUUGUAAACACUAUAAGAAGGCACUUAACCUAUUGAUAUCAUAAUAACUAUGCAUAUAUAUAUAUAAAGCUAAGUGUG